rfam:Ornithorhynchus anatinus chromosome 3, whole genome shotgun sequence.
CCCCUCUCAGGGUCACAUCUGGAGAAUUCCCAGUACUCUACCAGUCUCGACUAAAGGAGGGAGAGUCAAGCAGAAGCAUAUUCAUUCCAUUCCUAGUUUGGGCAGUGGCUAGAGAGUGGCAGGCAAUCUGCUACGAGU